GCCGAGAUGGUGAAAUUGGUAGACACGCUAUCUUGAGGGGGUAGUGUCUUCGGACGUGCGGGUUCAAGUCCCGCUCUCGGCACCA
rnacentral:tRNA from 5 species